CCUACGGGUGGCUGCAGUCGAGAAUCAUUCACAAUGGGGGAAACCCUGAUGGUGCGACGCCGCGUGGGGGAAUGAAGGUCUUCGGAUUGUAAGCUCCUGUCAUGUGGGAGCAAAUUAAAAAGAUAGUACCACAAGAGGAAGAGACGGCUAACUCGGUGCCAGCAGCCGCGGUAAUACAGAGGUCUCAAGAGGUGUUCGGAAUCACUGGGCGGAAAGGGUGGUUUGGCUGGCUCGUAAGGUGUGUGGGAAAGGGGCGGGCUGAAACCGCGGACGGCACAAGAUACUGCGAGACUAGAGUAAUGGAGGGGGAAGCGGAAUUCUCGGUGUAGCAGUGAAAUGCGUAGAUAUCGAGAGGAACACUAGUGGCGAAGGCGGGUUCCUGGACAUUAACUGACGCUGAGGCACGAAGGCCAGGGGAGCGAAAGGGAUUAGAUACCCCUGUAGUC
rnacentral:rRNA from 1 species